rnacentral:lncRNA from 1 species
GUCAAAUGCUGCUGAGACGUAAAACAUGAUGAAGUCCAAGAAUUGACUGGAGGGUCUGGUAGGACAGAGGUCAUUGCUGCUGAUCUAAAUGAAAGCUGUUUUGUAGCAAUGCUGGAGAUGCAAGCUUCAGUAAAGUGAGCUGAAGGACAUAAACAUAAACAUAAGCAAGAAGAAAGAAGAAGUGUAGACAAUUGUUUCCAGGAGUAUGACUUUAAAAGCAGAGAAAAAGAAAAGUUGGUAGAUGGUAUGUGGAAGACAUACUGUCGAGGGACUGAUUUUUCUUUCUUUGUUUUAUUGUUUCUUUUAGGAUGGCCGAUACUAGGCAUGCAUGUGCAUACAGAAAAGAGAGUAACCCAAUAGUGAGGAAGAAAUUGAUGCUGCAGGAGAGAGGGAAUAAUUGCCGAAGCAAAGAUCUUGAGGUACUGAGAAAGGAUGACCCUAAUUUCCUUAAUGCUGCAGCCUGCUUCCACUGAGGGACUGGAGGCUCCUUGAGCAAAAUUAUCUACCUCUUCACCUUUGGAUCUUUCACAGUUCCCAGUUCGGUGUACUACAGAUUGUACUUGCUAAAUAAAAAAUCAUUGUCAUGGUUUA